GUUGAUCAUGGCUCAGGAUGAACGCUAGCGGCAGGCUUAAUACAUGCAAGUCGAGGGCAGCACGGGUAGCAAUACCUGGUGGCGACCGGCAAACGGGUGCGGAACACGUACGCAACUUUCCCAAAACUGGUGAAUAGCCCUCCGAAAGGAGGAUUAAUACACCGUAACAUAACGAGUAGGCAUCUACUUGUUAUUAUAGGCUUCGGCCGGUUUUGGAUGGGCGUGCGCCUGAUUAGGUAGUUGGCGGGGUAACGGCCCACCAAGCCUGCGAUCAGUAACUGGUGUGAGAGCACGACCAGUCACACGGGCACUGAGACACGGGCCCGACUCCUACGGGAGGCAGCAGUAAGGAAUAUUGGUCAAUGGACGAAAGUCUGAACCAGCCAUGCCGCGUGAAGGAUUAAGGCCCUCUGGGUUGUAAACUUCUUUUAUCUGGGACGAAAAAAGGGCUUUCUAGCUCACUUGACGGUACCAGAGGAAUAAGCACCGGCUAACUCCGUG
rnacentral:rRNA from 1 species